ensembl:lncRNA
UAGAUCGGAAGUUGACUGCGAAAACGAAACGGCCGCUAGCUGCAGUCAGUUACAUCAAGAUGGAGAGACCUUUUUACAUUGGAAGUAAAACAAACAGUGGUGCGACAAACAGCGGAGAACUGUGCAGAGGAAUUCCUCCACGUGUCAAACAGAAGGGAAGCGAUCUACCGGCACCACCUUGGCGAUCGACCUAUUGGGCACCGCGGCCUUAGGUCAAUGAAGCUGCCAUUAUUGCAAAAAUCAACUUUAAAAAGGAAAGAACAUGCUUACAUGCACAUUCAAAGCUUUCUCUGCCCCCUGUCUCUCUUUUACUUGUACAUACUGUGAAUGCAGACAGAUAGAGACAACACAAUCCCUUUCCCCUGCCAGAGAAUUACCCCCCCCCCCCCUUACUUUAUGGAAGCCAAGAAGAAAACAAACCAACAAGGAUUUACUAAAAAGUAUUAAUCACGUUGGUAAAGGGAAGCCUACACUGAGAUUUGUGUUAUUGUGGUACCCUAGAGAAGAUGAGUGUCUCCUCAUUUAAUGCCAGACUAUCUCUCUAUUAGGGAAGGACAAGAGCAGGGAGAUGAGAGAAGGCAUAAAAGAAAUACCGCUUUAAAACAACACUGCUGCUUAUCUCUCCCAUCCUGCCCCCACGCUCUUCCUCUGUUUCAACCUCCCUCAGUUCCCCCUGUUGCAUUAUAAUGAAGUUAUCCCACAGCAGAGUUCUUCUCAGCCCAAGCUGUCUUAAGACAGAGGAGGGAUGGAGGGAGCAGCAGAAUCACAGAGAGGAGGAAGUAUCAAAGUCAACAAGGAGGAUAAAGCCUGGGAAGAAGUGAAGGAGAUGGGGAAUAAGGGAAGAGGCAGUGAUUGAAGUUGAUAUGUGACAUCGUGCAAGACUUGCAAAAAUCAUACUCCAGCUAUUUCAUGAUAUUCAACGAUUCCCAUUUAUAUUAGUGAAUAAUGCUAAUGAGUGCAAUACCAAGCAAAUACAUUUGUGUAAAAAUACCGCUAAAGGCACAAUAUUGGCAUUAAUAUUAAAAUAUUUUUCACAUUCAUUUGGAAAGUGUGCUCAGAAAUGUCAUCACAUAAUUUCCUCUGCAGGGGAUUUCUUAUUUGCACAUUGUGCUUUUUGUUCUCAACAAUGACACAAAGACAUGCAAAAAGUCAAAUUGGACAUGUGUUGUUGAAAUUGACAUUUCCCUCUUAUACUUGGUACGGUAAACACAUGAAAAAUACAGUGCGAGGGUAUCAGUCCCAGUCACAGCAGACAUUGUUAUUGCUACAACAGGCUGAGACCACCAGUGAAAUAAUCUAAUGUAAUAUAAUGGUCUAAAGGUCAAUCCACAAUCGUAGAAUGGGAUAACGGUUAAUCGGCUGUCCUCCCUAUUGCAAAGCAAGGAGCUAAAUUCGAUCACACUCGGGACAGUGGACGUGAGCAGGUGAAUAUUAUUUGGCAUUCAGUGACAGGUUAGUUACAAAAGGACGUACUUGCGACGAAUACUGAAGUAUGUCAGUCACUGUUAAACAGAUUAAUAAAAUACCCAGGUACUUAUUUACUGUACCACGCAUUCAAUUCAAUGAGAAAGUGUGUCCAAACCUUUCACUGAUACUGUAUAUUUCCUGCUUGCACUUACUUUUAACAUCUAUAUCUGUAUCUUUAACAAAACGUCUGGUGAAACUACACCAUUGCACCUACUAUGCCGCUUUUCUGUGUAGUUAAAUUAAAUUGUGACCAAAUGCAUGUAGUGGAGACCUAUGCUGCGCCACUGCAAAGCCUUUGUCAAGUGCCAUAUGGCAUCUUAACAAAAACAACCCUUAUGACAACGGACCCCGUUCAUUUGGCAGGUCAUUGCAAUUCAGAUGUUAUUGCUGCCUCAUGUGGUGCUUGGACUUCACAAUUUGUAUUCGAAUGUCAUUUAGGGACUGAUGUUCCUUCCUCUGCUCAGAAAUGUCCCUGAGGGGCUUCAAAGUCACCCAAUAGACCCCCAGGAGAGUCUGACCCAUACAAGUAAGCGACUUUGUCCCAAUCCAGUGUUGUCCACCACUGCGCAUCCCCAUGCUGAGGUAGAAUUCAGAACAAUAGGACAUGCGGAGAAUGUAAUCAGAAGAAGUCAAGGGACCCUCAGGGGCCUCCGGACCACAAUGUCUACAAUAGCGUGGCAAGGCAAGGACUUGGGUUGUGGGAGGAAACUUAUUUUUCAAUCUUCUGCUCACCUCCUACACCUCAUGGGUAAAGUUUAGGUUCUCAUUAGAUGAAGCACCAGAGAGCUGGGAGAAAGUUGCAGAGAGAAAGGAGCUCACUAAGUCACAACAAGGCGCCACAUUGCCUUAUUCGUGGAAAAUCUUAAUUUAAUGUAAUUGCGGCUCAAAACAAGGUCCAAGCUCUCUCAUGUCCACUCAGAGACUGUGAGAAACCUCAAUAAAGCGCUCCUAUCGCUAAUAUCGCAGCAUAUUUUUCCCUUUCAUUCUUAAAGUCAGUAAAAUAAAAGAACGAAUCCACAUGUACACAAACACAGUGUAGAGGUGACAUUUAAA